rnacentral:rRNA from 1 species
ACGAACGCUGGCGGCGUGCUUAACACAUGCAAGUCGAACGGAAAGGCCCUGCUUUUGUGGGGUGCUCGGGUGGCGAACGGGUGAGUAACACGUGAGUAACCUGCCCUUGACUUUGGGAUAACUUCAGGAAACUGGGGCUAAUACCGGAUAGGAGCUCCUGCUGCAUGGUGGGGGUUGGAAAGUUUCGGCGGUUGGGGAUGGACUCGCGGCUUAUCAGCUUGUUGGUGGGGUAGUGGCUUACCAAGGCUUUGACGGGUAGCCGGCCUGAGAGGGUGACCGGCCACAUUGGGACUGAGAUACGGCCCAGACUCCUACGGGAGGCAGCAGUGGGGAAUAUUGCACAAUGGGCGGAAGCCUGAUGCAGCAACGCCGCGUGCGGGAUGACGGCCUUCGGGUUGUAAACCGCUUUCGCCUGUGACGAAGCGUGAGUGACGGUAAUGGGCAAAGAAGCACCGGCUAACUACGUG